AUAAAAAGAUACCCUAACGAGAAUCAUGAUAUAAUAAUGAUCACAUUGGAAAGUGCUAUAAUGAAAAUUGAGCAAGUGAAGUUCAGGGUGUGAUGGUUUUGACAUCGUGGUGUGGGAAGGUCUGUCUGAUAAGGUGACCUCUAAUUGGAGACCUGGAGAGAGGGAAGGAAGCGUGAGGUUGCCGAGUGCCAGCUAUGAGGAGGCCUGUGGGGCAGGAGUGAGGGAGCAGUGAGCCGAAGGGUAUGAUAGAAGAUGAAACAGGCACUUGUCAAAAGGGGCAGAACCCACAGGGCCUUGCAGGCUUGCUAAGAAUUGGGAUUUUAUACUAACAAAAGAAGGGGAUGGAGUGUUUUGUGCAGAAGGGUGACUUAACCUGUCAGACCAGAUAGCUACUUUUCUUUUCCGUGGACUGGGGAGGAUAUUCCAAAGCUGAUUUUCUUUUAAGUGGAUCAUUUCAAAGUUUUCUCAUUUGUACAGUGGCUAAGUGCAUUUUGGCCACAAGUAAGAAUUUCCCUUGGUUAAGCUCUAUUUUAAUUCAGUAUAAAACUUGAGGGGUGCAACUUUAAAAGUCUGUACGUGCCAUAAAUUCAAUGUUCAAAAGUAGCAAAUCUGAGCAUUUACACUGCUCACUACAGAUGGCAGUGUAACAGGAAAGCUCUCAUGGUAACAGCUGGGAGGGCGGGGCUAGUAUGUACCCCACCUCUUCUUUCUGAAAGCGGCAUCAGGCAGUCAGAGACUCUGGGCCAUACAUUAUGUAGUAUAUGAAAAGCUCGGCUACCCACAUGUGCUACGCCAGACUACUACAUUGGGACUACUAGGCCCAAGUGUAUCCAACUGGUCCAGGAGCCUCAGGACAGUUUCCAAAACACUAUCCUUUUUUUCUUUCUAAAGAUCUUAUUUUAUUUUUUUAAGUUUACUGAUUCAUUUUGAGUGUGCAAGGCAGGGGCAGAGGGAGAGGGAGUGAGAGAAUCCCAGCAGGCUCUGCCCAGUGUCAGUACAAUGCGGAGGCUCAAACCUGCGAACCAUGAGAUCAUGACCUGAGCUAAAAUCAAGAGUCUGACGCUUAACCAACUGAACCACUCAGGCACCUCUCCAAGGCAACUAUUCUAUGUCAUAUUCAAAAUGCUAAAUCUGAACAUUAAGUAAUGACCUGAGCAUAUGAAAAUGGUGACCUUUAGUAUAAAAAUGUCUUAGUGGCAAUUAAGCUCUUCAAUCAAAGAAGAGGAGAGCAAAAAUAGUAAAGCAGUAGGAUGUAAAUAUCACAAUCAGAAAGGUUUGGAGCCACUAGGGGACUUGGACUCUUUGAACUAUUCCUCAGCUGCAGUAAAAAUAUCCUCCAUUAGGGGGCCUCAUAACCCUGCUUUGAUCUUCGUGCCUUGUCACUAUAAAGAGUGACAUUCAUUCUCUUCGCUCUUUCUCCUUCAGUUGCUCUCUUUCCAUAUCUCCCUCUGUCUCAUUGAAAAAUGAAUUAAUUAAGAACAUGUGUAUGUAUUUUUCCUACAUGGCUGCAUAAUUCUCACCAUUUGGGCGAAGAAAGCAAAGUACUAUGUGACACAGGAAGGAAAAACAUCAAGAAUGUGUCAUCUUUAUGUACACAGUCUGAACAUUUCUAUCAUCAGUUUCUGGAUAGUUUCAGUGUGGAUUGGGAAAUAAUAGACAAUCACAAGGAACCUUGGAUACUUUAAGGAAUAGAGCUUUGAUCCCCUGGAGAGGCCUGUUUGGUAGAGAGUCUAACUUUACCCCCUUCACUUCAGACACGGAACAAAGAAGCCAACUAACUGAUUGUUUAAUUAAUCCUGAGGAAGGGACUGGAUAACCUGAUUUCAAGCCUCCCAUAAAGGAAAAAGGGUGUGAGACGAGCCAAGAAGAUGAUGAUAGAAGAACAGUGUGAGGAAACUUGCCUUACUGGACAUUAAAUGUUUCUACAAAGCUACUGAAAACCAAACAGAAUAGAACUGGUGCAGACAGAGACAUUAGUGCAACAUAGUAAAUGUCCAGAAAUAGAUGCAAACAUAUGUGAGAAAUUACUUUUGACAAAGAUGGAAUUGCAGUUCAGUGGGAAAAGUUUAGUUCAGUUAGACAAAAUUUUAUAGCAUUGCUGACAUAAAUGACUACCCAGCAUAGGAGAAAACAAAGCUAAAUGUCAGUCCAUAUUACAAAAUGAAUUCCAGAUCAAUUCAUGGUAUAAAUGUAAAAUAUGAAAUAAUAAAAAUAUUAGAACAAAAUUCCAAGCAAGACAGGAAACCAUGAAGCCAAAAGAGAAAAAAAAAAACAUUAAACUGUGUUACUUUUUAAAAAUCGGAUGUUAAAAGAUACUAUAAAAAGGAAGAAAAAGGAAAAAAUGAGAGACUGAGGAAAAAGUUUCAAUGUGGAUGAAAGACAAAAGGUUAAUAUUCCUAAUAUUAAAAGAAUUUCUAGAAUUUUUCUAAAAACACAUAUAGCCCAGUAGAAAAAAUGGGCAAAGAAUAUGGAAGUGGAAUCCAAAUUUCCUGUAGGCAUGCACAUGCUCAACCUCACUAGUCAUUAGAGAAAAUGCAAAUUACAUUAAAAAUGAGAUGUAUAAAAAUCCAUCACAUUGACAAAGCUUAAAGAAUAAAAGUACCCAUUACUAGUAAGCAUGUUAGGAAAUGGGCAGUCUUACACAUUGCUGGCUGGAUAUUCGGUUGUUACCAUUUUUGAAAGUUAUUGUGCAAUAUCAAAAAAAAAUAUAUACAUAUGCUUUGACUUAGCCAUCCAACUUCGGAGGAUCUCUGAAAAGCAAACAUCAGGAGGUAGAGAUCAGAUGCAUGUUACAGCUCAUUUGCCUCAGUGUCUUCCAGUGCUCUAAACUGGAAACCAAAUCAGUUUCUGCCAUCAGGGAGAGAUUAGUUAUGCCACAUCCAUACUAGAGAAGACUGUGCAACUAUUUAAAAAAAUAUAUUUUAUUGCUAUCUGCCAACUUGGAGAGGUGUCCAUGAUGCAGUGAUAAGCAGGAAGGCCAAGUUGCAGAAUGAUAUGUACAGUACACUUCAUUUUCAAAAGAUGAGAUUUUGCAUAUGUCUGUAUGUGAGUGUGCAUGUCUGGAUGGGUAUAGAGAAGGUACUGGAAGGAUAUUGAAUGUUAAUAUUACCUUGGAAUAAAAGGGACUCUGGGUGGA